rnacentral:rRNA from 1 species
AAAGUCUGACCGAGCAACGCCGCGUGAGUGAAGAAGGUUUUCGGAUCGUAAAGCUCUGUUGUAAGUCAAGAACGUGUGUGAGAGUGGAAAGUUCACACAGUGACGGUGGCUUACCAGAAAGGGACGGCUAACUACGUGCCAGCAGCCGCGGUAAUACGUAGGUCCCGAGCGUUGUCCGGAUUUAUUGGGCGUAAAGGGAGCGCAGGCGGUCAGGUAAGUCUGGAGUAAAAGGCUAUGGCUCAACCAUAGUGUGCUCUGGAAACUGUCUGACUUGAGUGCAGAAGGGGAGAGUGGAAUUCCAUGUGUAGCGGUGAAAUGCGUAGAUAUAUGGAGGAACACCAGUGGCGAAAGCGGCUCUCUGGCCUGUCACUGACGCUGAGGCUCGAAAGCGUGGGUAGCGAACAGGAUUAGAUACCCUGGUAGUCCACGCCGUAAACGAUGAGUGCUAGGUGUUAGGCCCUUUCCGGGGCUUAGUGCCGGAGCUAACGCAAUAAGCACUCCGCCUGGGGAGUACGACCGCAAGGUUGAAACUCAAAGGAAUUGACGGGGGCCCGCACAAGCGGUGGAGCAUGUGGUUUAAAUUC